AACGUCAUUGCUCUGAAGCUGGAUCCCCUAAAGCAUAAGCUAUGGUGACCAGACCAGUGUCGCAAGGCACUCGGGUAUUAUGGGAAACUGUAAUAUCUCCUAUUGGAAAGGAGUCUGUCGACAGGU
rnacentral:ncRNA from 2 species